rnacentral:lncRNA from 1 species
ACGGAACAUAAUAACAAUAAUAAUAAUAAAAUAUUCAAAAUGAUCUUACAAAUAGAGUCUUGAGAAGACAUUGAAUAGUGAGUAAACUACAGUGUGAAGAUAAGGAAAAGGGAUCAUCUCAUAAACCCUCAAUUCAAAAAAAACACACCAAACAUGAGCAAAUUAAAUACAACAUUAUUACAAAAGUACUAGUAGGUAGCUAGAAAUUCUAUGCUACCAUAUUCAAACAAGCCCGAUUUGUUAGAGUUAAAGAAGUAAUAUCACUCGAUCAUUAUUAUCAAACUGAUUGCAAUUUCUUGUUUUUGUCGGACUAUUAAACAUUAAUAGCCAGGCUGUUGGAAGCCAUAGACAGUGAAUCCUCCAUCAACUGCAAUAACUUGACCAGUAACAUAGGAAGCAGAAGGAAGACAAAGAUAAGCUACCAUUAAUGAAACUUCUUCAACUUCUCCAGGACGCUUAAGAGUAGUUCUUGAUAUUACCCCUUCCAGAAAUUCUUUAUCUCCCAGCACCUGUCAAUACAGAGCCAUCAAAAGGGUCAAAUUUGUCUUUUUACUAUCGAAAAAAGGAUCUUAUAUAUACCCUUUGUUAUACUACUCAUUACAAAAAGUCGCUAAGAUAUACCCUUUCUACUAAUUAUAUUAGGUCUAUUAAUAUUUUGAUGAAAUCAUGAACACCACAUGACAUGUCAUCAUAUUGUCCCAACCCCCUCCACUUUUUUGUCCACCACUACAACACCAUGACCACCACUGCCAUGAUAAUGGAGGGAUUAAUUUAAUUGUUGAUAGGUUCGAGUUGUUUAAUAUUCCACAGUAACAUGGUAAUAUUAAUUUAUUGGAUUCGAAAACUAUUACUUAGAUAUAUUUAGUUAAUUUCUUAAAGCUAUCGAUAGAGUCAUCAAAAUGGGUUUAGUUCAUCGGUCGACCCAACAAAAUAAGUUACUAGGAUAGGAUUGGGAUAAGAUUUUUCAAGUUCAUUUAAGUGUUACGACCCAAAAUCGAUCCGCGACUGGCACCCACACUUACCCUCCUAUGUGAGCGAACCAACCAAUCUAAACCUUAACAUUUCAAUGUAAUAUCAUCAUAAAAUAAUGCGGAAGACUUAAACUCAUUAAUAAAAACCAAUUCAAUAACUAUUAUUUCCCAAAAUCUGGAAGUCAUCAUCACAAGAACAUCUAUGAUCAAAUUACUAAAUCUAAGAGUUUCUAAGAAGCUAAAAAUACAUAAAAGCUAGUCCAUGCCGGAACUUCAAGGCAUCAAGACAUGAAGAGGAAGAUCCAGUCCAAGCUAGAAGCAUUAGCUCACCCUGAUAUCCGGAGUAAUGAAGACUGGCUAGAAUUACUGUUGAGUCGAAGAUGACGGCACGUUUGCUGCACUCCACAAAUAAACAAGAAGAAAACAUAAAAGUAGGGGUCAGUACAAAACACGGGUACUGAGUAGAUAUCAUCGGCCAACUCAAAAUAGAAAUCAAUAUAUACCAAGUAAUAUCAUAAAAUCAACUAUGAUACUCAACAUGUAGCAACAACAAGUACUAUAUCAUUAACAAUUACCGUCAAGUUCACACAUGAGGACUCAAGCCUCAAUACCAUACUCAUUUGGGAAUUAUGUUCAUUAGAUUGAGUAUAUUACCAUCUUUCAAGAUUCAUUAUCUUUAUUUCUCUUGUGUCGGUACGUGACACUCCGCUCCCUCAUAUUCAUUAAUCUUCUUGUGUCGGUACGUGACACUCCGCUCCCCUAAAUCUACGUGUCGAUUCGUGACACCCGAUCCCCUAAAUCUACGUGUCGGUUCGUGACACCCGAUCCCCUAAAUCUACGUGUCGGUUCGUGACACCCGAUCCCCUAAAUCUACGUGUCGGUUCGUGACACCCGAUCCCCUAAUCUCCUUCUAUCAAUUCAUCAAGCCUUCUUUCUUUCCAAGGCAUCAUCAAUCUCAUUAUUUUAGUUCAUCACGCCUUCUUUUAUACCAAGGCCUCAUCAUUAACAGAGAAAUUAGGGUUUUGUAAGAUUUUGGGAUUCAAUAACUUCAUCAUGCUUAUAUAAUCACAAUUACAUAAUUACAUUCAUGCAAGCAUACAACUAAGCACAUAGCAGGGUUUACAAUAUUAUCAAUACAUAUCAUUCGCUAUUAAGAGUUUACUACGAAUAUCGUAAGAGAAACCAUAACCUACCUCCACUGAAGACUAGUGAUCAAGCAAGCAAAUUCCCAAAGCUUUGUUCUUCUUCUCUCCCUGUUCGUUCGUUUUCUCCCUCUCUUGUGUUUUCAAAUUUUCUUAUUCCAACCCUCUUUCUUUUACCCUAAUUAGUAUAUAAUUAAGAAUAAAAGAUGGCAAUAAUAACCCACUAAUUAACUUAAGGUUACCUCUUUUAACCCCUAAGUAAUUAGACUUAUUAACAUUAACCCACUAACUUUAUAAUUAAAGCAGGAAUAGUAAAAAAUGUCCCUUAAAACGUAUAAAGAAAUCCGACCCAGACUGGGAUUACGCAACCUGCGACGGCCCGUCGUGCCUGCGACGGUCCGUCCUGCAGGUCGUCGCAAGGUUUAGAGACUGGAUUUCCACUGAAGGCUCUGUGACGGUCCGUUACACAUGUGACGGUCCGUCCUGCCAUUUCAUUACGAAGUUCAGAGAGUCGAUUUUCAGUACCUAAUUUCAGAUUUUCUAAGUGUUUUGAAACGAGACCCUGCGACGGUCCGUCGUGUCCAUGACGGUCCGUCGUGGGGUCCGUCGCCUCAACCUAUUUUUCCAGAAAUAAAAUCUGCUGUUCAAAACGACUAAACAGGUCGUUACAAUAGAUACCAAUUUACCCAUCGUUCGUCCCCGAACGAUCACAAGAAGGAAAACAAGGGCGAAAAGGAGUACCUGAAUCUGUAAACAGAUGUGGGUAUCUUUCUCGCAUGUCUGCCUCCUUCUCCCAAGUGGCUUCUUCAACGGGUCGAUUCUUCCAUUGAACUUUGAUGGAUGCAAUCUCCCUUGAUCUCAACUUGCAAAUUUCCCUAUCUAGAAUGACAACAGGUUCCUCCUCAUAAGACAAGUUCUCAUCAAGCAAAACUGAAUCCUAACGGAUAAUGUAGUUUCCAUCCCCAUGGUAUCUUUUCAACAUCGACACAUGGAAUACCGGAUGCACUCCGGACAGCCCUGGAGGCAAGGCUAACUCAUAAGCCACCUCCCUUACUCGCUUAAGUACUUCAAAUGGACCAAUAUACCUUGGGCUAAGUUUACCUCGCUUACCAAACCGCAUCACCUCUUUCAUUGGCGAAACCUUCAACUAGACUUGUUCACCCUCCAUAAACUCCAAGUCUCUAACCUUCCGAUCUGCAUACUCCUUCUGUCUACUUUGCGCCGCUAGAAGCUUUUCUUGAAUAGAUUUCACUUUAUCUAACGAUUCCCUCAGAAGGUCAGUACCCCAAGGUCUAACUUUAAAUGCAUCAAACCACCCAAUGGGAGACCUACAUUUUCUCCCAUAUAGUGCCUCAAAUGGGGCCAUAUCAAUGCUUGAGUGAUAGCUAUUGUUGUAGGAGAACUCUGCUAAGGGUAAGAAGCUAUCCCACUGACCGUCAAAUUCUAUCACACAUGCACGAAGCAUAUCCUCCAACACUUGAAUCGUUCGCUCAGACUGACCAUCGGUCUGAGGAUGGAACGCAGUACUAAGGUCCAACCUAGUACCCAAUUCCGCAUGCAAUGUUUUCCAAAACUUAGAAGUAAACUGCGUACCUCUAUCUGAUAUAAUGGAGAGUGGAACCCCAUGCAAUCGCACCACUUCCGAGAUGUAAAGUUUGGCUAACUUUUCUGCAUUGUAAGUCACCUUGACCGGAAUGAAGUGAGCAGACUUAGUUAACCUAUCAACAAUUACCCAAAUAGAAUUAAACUUUCCCAAUGUCUUUGGAAGACUAACCACAAAAUCCAUUGCAAUCCUUUCCCACUUCCAUUCGGGAAUGGGCAUUCUCUGAAGUGUUCCUCCGGGCCUUUGGUGUUCAUAUACCUGUUGACAGUUUGGACAUUUGGCAAUAAAAUCCACAAUAUCACGCUUCAUUCUUCUCCACCAAAAGUGUUGCUUUAGGUCACGGUACAUCUUGGUUGCACACGGAUGUAUCGAAUACCUUGAACCAUGAGCCUCUGUCAGAAUAGUGUUGAUUAAAUCAUCAACGCGGGGUACACAUACCCUUCCUUUAAUCCUCAAGACGCCUUCCUCAUCGAUUGUCGCUUCUUUAGCCUUUGCUUGCAACACUUUAUCUCGAAUACUGAUCAAUUUUUCAUCAUUAAACUGCUUUCCCUUAAUCUUGUUAAGGAAGGAAGAUCUUGCCUCCACACAAGCCAAAAAUCCUCCCUUCUCAUUUACUUCUAACCUCAUAAGGUCAUUAGCCAGAAUCUGAACUUCUCUGGCCAAUGGGUGUCUAGAAGCUUGCAAGUGAGCUAGACUUCCCAUGCUUCCCGCCUUUCUACUUAAAGCAUCCGCUACAACAUUCGCCUUCCCCAGAUGAUACAAAAUAGUGAUAUCGUAGUCCUUCAGUAGUUCCAUCUAUCUCCUCUGUCUCAAAUUCAAAUUUUUUUGAGUAAAAACAUACUGUAGGCUACGAUGAUCCGUAUAGACCUCACACUUAACCCCAUAUAAAUAGUGUCUCCAUUGCUUUAAUGCAAACACUACCGCGGCCAAUUUCAAAUCAUGAGUUGGAUAGUUACGUUCAUGCACUUUUAAUUGUCUUGAAGCAUAAGCAAUCAUAUUCUUCUCUUGCAUUAGCACUACACCCAAACCCGAAUAGGAUGCAUCACAAUAGACAAUGAAGUUCUUACCUUCCACUGGCAAGGUAAGAAUUGGUGCAGUAGUCAACAAAGUCUUGAGCUUCUGAAAGCUUUCUUCACACUCGUCCAACCAUACAAAUGGAACAUUCUGCUUAGUCAAGUUCGUCAAUUGGGAAGCAAUGGAAGAGAAUCCCUUGACAAAUCGACGGUAGUAGCUAGCUAACCCAACAAAGCUCCUUAUUUCUGACACAUUUGUAGGUCUUACCUAAUUCUUCACUGUCUCGAUCUUAGAAGGAUCCACCAUCACUCCAUCCUUAGAAACCACGUGCCCCAAGAAGGACACUGCAUCUAGCCAAAACUCACACUUAGAGAACUUGGCAUAAAGCUUUUUCUCCCUCAACAUUUCCAAUACCAUUCUCAAAUGCUCCUUAUGUUCCUCCUUACUUUUAGAGUAUAUCAGUAUGUCAUCAAUAAAUACGAUCACAAAGAGAUCCAAAUAUGUAAAAAUCCCGUUCAUCAAACUCAUGAACGCAGCAGGGGCAUUCGUAAGACGAAAAGACAUCACUACAAAUUCGUAAUGCCCAUACCUGGUUCUAAAAGCGGUCUUUGGCACAUCCGCUGCCCGUAUUUUCAAUUGAUGAUAGCUGGAUCUCAAGUCAAUCUUAGAGAAGACACAAGCACCUUGUAACUGAUCGAACAAGUCAUCAAUGUGAGGAAGAGGAUACUUGUUCUUUAUGGUUACCUUGUUCAACUGCCGGUAGUCUAUGCACAUCCGAAAACUCCCAUCCUUCUUCUUUACAAACAAAACCAAAGCACCCCAAGGAGAUGCACUUGGUCUAAUGAAGCCUUUGCUCAACAACUCUUGGAGUUGUGCUUUUAACUCUCUUAACUCCGCGGGAGCCAUUCUAUAAGGGGGUAUAGAAAUGCGGCGAGUACCCGGUUCAAGAUCAAUACCGAAGCCAAUAUCCCUAUCUGGUGGCAUACCAGGAAAAUCUGCAAGGAACACAUCCAGAAACUCACGGACCACCGAAACCGACUCAAAAUCGAAGGUACUUGGGUAGUGUCAUCCUUGAGAUGUGCCAAGAAAGCUAAACACCCUUUACUAACCAUUUUCUUAGCACGAAGAAAGGAGAUGAUACGCACCGGAUUGGAAGUGUAGUCACCCUCCCACACUAACGGAUCUGUCCCAGGCUUGGCUAACGUCACCGUUUUAGCAUUACAAUCCAAGAUCACAAAUUGCGGAGAAAGCCAAGUCAUACCCAGAAUUACAUCAAAAUCAUCCAUUUCUAAGAUAACCAAAUCUACAUAAGUGUUGUUCCCCACAAAGUUCACCAAACAAGACCUAUAUACCUUUUCAACUACCAUAGACUCACCCACCGGAGUAGAAACACGAAUAGGCAUAUCAAGUAAUUCACAAUGUAAAUUUAGACCAUUAGCAAAUGAGGAAGAUACAUAAGAAAAUGUGGAUCCAGGAUCAAACAAUACAGAAGCCAUGCAAUCACAAACUAGAAGAUUACCUGUGAUGACAGCAUCAGAUGCCUCCGCUUCAGACCGCCCAGGGAAAGCGUAGCAAUGGGCCCUAUCGUUUGUCUGUCCAUUGCCCCUACCAUGUUGUGAUAUAGUGGCUCCAGUUUGCCCAUCACCUCGGCCGUUUUGGUGGCCACCAUUAUCUCGACCACCACGUCCUCCAGAAUAACGGCCUCUACCAUGACCACCUCUACCUCUAGCUAUUGGGGGUCUAUAACUCUGUUUGGGACAAUUCCUCCUAAUAUGUCCAGUAUCCCCACAUCCAUAACACUCUCUAGAGUCAAGCAUAGGUCUCUCAGAGAAGUGUUGACCGGUCUGAGGUGGACCCCCAACUACAGUCUGUAGUGAAGACUGAAUGGGUCGAACUGAGUAACCUCCGGAACCCUGUCCUCUAGAGUAAGAACCAUUAAAUUCACCUCGCUUUCGAAACCUCUUUGAUGUCGAUGCCAUGGUGAAUUCAUCUGGCUUCACUCCUUCCACCUCUACCACGAAAUCUACCACUUCUUGGAAGGAUUUUGCCGUAGCCGCUACCUGUAAGGCUGAAAUCCGCAAUUCUGACCUCAACCCCUUCACAAAACGACGAAUCCGCUCUUGUGGACUGAAACAAAGUUGAGUGACAUAUCUGGAUAGUGCACGAAACUUAGCCUCAUAUGCAUUGACCGACAUCCUACCUUGCUCUAGGCUCAAGAACUCAUCCCUUUUCCUAUCCCUCAAAGUCCGGGGAUAUACUUCUCCAUAAAUAAGCUAGAGAAUGAGGCCCAAGUCAUAGGUGGUGCCUCCGUUGGUUGACACUCAACAUGUGACCGCCACCACAUUUUGGCGUUCCCUUGAAAUUGAUAACUCACGAACUCAACACCAAGCCGUUCUACUAUACCCAUCUUGUGUAGUAGCUCAUGACAGUCGACCAGAAAAUCGUAAGCAUCCUCAGAUUCAGCACCCUUGAAGACUGGAGGUUUCAAUUUCAAGAACUUACUGAAAAGUUCAUGCUGAUCAUUUGUCAUUAUAGGCCCAGUAGUCAGACGUGGAAACGUGCCUAUGUCCAAUGAGGCAUCCAUACGAGGAGCCAUAGUGGCUGCAUGUUGUACCUCUGAAACUGGAGGUGUUGGUGCAGAAAACACUGGAGGUGCCUGGCCCUGAUCAGACAACCCACUAAGAUAAGCGAGAACCUGAUUGAUCAUCUCUGGGGUAGGUUGGGGUGGCAAUUCCUCAUUUUGCACUUGUUCAGUUUCCCCUUCCUCACCCUCUCUUACUACUUCUUCAGUCGGUGGAGGAUUCACUGCCCUAGUAUCAGAUGGGCUAGGUGCUCGUCCCCUUCCUCAAGAGGACGUCCUCCCACGACCUCUACCACGGCCUCUUUCCGUUGCUCUUCCUCGAGCCACAGCCCCAAUGGCUGGCUCAGUUAUAUCCUGCCUUGCUGGUGUUGGUGUUGGCGUAGUCGUUGCUCUAGUUCUAACCAUCUGCGAAAUAGAGUGAAGAUGGUCAGAUACCAAUUUGUAUCACCUAGAUACCAAUUGGACCCAAGUAAUAGCACAAAAGAAGGAAAGAAAGAAUGAAAUUUUCCUAAAGUCUUAUAGCCUCUUAAAGAAAAGUAAAGGCGCCCCCCUACUGUUCCUCAAGACUCUACUAGACUCGUUCUUGUGUGAUGAGACCAACGAACCUAAUGCUCUGAUACCAAGUUUGUCACGACCCAAAACCGAGCCGUGACUGGCAGCCACACUUACCCUCCUAUGUGAGCGAACCAACCAAUCUAAACCUUAACAUUUCAAUGUAAUAUCAUCAUAAAAUAAUGCGGAAGACUUAAACUCAUUAAUAAAAACCAAUUCAAUAACUAUUAUUUCCCAAAAUCUGGAAGUCAUCAUCACAAGAACAUCUAUGAUCAAAUUACUAAAUCUAAGAGUUUCUAAGAAGCUAAAAAUACAUAAAAGCUAGUCCAUGCCGGAACUUCAAGGCAUCAAGACAUGAAGAGGAAGAUCCAGUCCAAGCUAGAAGUAUUAGCUCACCCUGAUAUCCGAAGUAAUGAAGACUGGCUAGAAUUACUGUUGAGUCGAAGAUGACGGCACGUUUGCUGCACUCCACAAAUAAACAAGAAGAAAACAUAAAAGUAGGGGUCAGUACAAAACACGGGUACUGAGUAGAUAUCAUCGGCCAACUCAAAAUAGAAAUCAAUAUAUACCAAGUAAUAUCAUAAAAUCAACUAUGAUACUCAACAUGUAGCAACAACAAGUACUAUAUCAUUAACAAUUACCGUCAAGUUCACACAUGAGGACUCAAGCCUCAAUACCAUACUCAUUUGGGAAUUAUGUUCAUUAGAUUGAGUAUAUUACCAUCUUUCAAGAUUCAUUAUCUUUAUUUCUCUUGUGUCGGUACGUGACACUCCGCUCCCUCAUAUUCAUUAAUCCUCUUGUGUCGGUACGUGACACUCCGCUCCCCUAAAUCUACGUGUCGGUUUGUGACACCCGAUCCCCUAAAUCUACGUGUCGGUUCGUGACACCCGAUCUCCUAAAUCUACGUGUCGGUUCGUGACACCCGAUCUCCUAAAUCUACGUGUCGGUUCAUGACACCCGAUCCUCUAAAUCUACGUGUCGGUUCGUGACACCCGAUCCCCUAAAUCUACGUGUCGGUUUGUGACACCAGAUCCCCUAAAUCUAUGUGUCGGUUCGUGACAUCCGAUCCCCUAAAUCUACGUGUCGGUUCGUGACACCUGAUCCCCUAAAUCUACGUGUCGGUUCAUGACACCCGAUCUCCUAAAUCUACGUAUCGGUUCGUGACACCCGAUCCCCUAAAUCUACGUGUCGGUUCGUGACACCCGAUCCCCUAAAUCUACGUGUCGGUUCGUGACACCUGAUCCCCUAAUCUCCUUCUAUCAAUCCAUCAAGCCUUCUUUCUUGCCAAGGCAUCAUCAAUCUCAUUGUUUUAGUUCAUCACGCCUUCUUUUAUACCAAGGCCUCAUCAUUAACAGAGAAAUUAGGGUUUUGUAAGAUUUUGGGAUUCAAUAACUUCAUCAUGCUUAUAUAAUCACAAUUACAUAAUUACAUUCAUGCAAGCAUACAAUUAAGCACAUAGCAGGGUUUACAAUAUUAUCAAUACAUAUCAUUCGCUAUUAAGAGUUUACUACGAAUAUCAUAAGAGAAACCAUAACCUACCUCCACCGAAGACUAGUGAUCAAGCAAGCAAAUUCCCAAAGCUUUCUUCUUCUUCUCUCCCUGUUCGUUCAUUUUCUCCCUCUCUUGUGUUUUCAAAUUUUCUUAUUCCAACCCUCUUUCUUUUACCCUAAUUAGUAUAUAAUUAAGAAUAAAAGAUGGCAAUAAUAACCCACUAAUUAACUUAAGGUUACCUCUUUUAACCCUUAAGUAAUUAGACUUAUUAACAUUAACCCACUAACUUUAUAAUUAAAGCAGGAAUAGUCAAAAACGUCCCUUAAAACGUAUAAAGAAACGACCCAGACUGGGAUUACGCAACCUACGACGGUCCGUCGUGCCUGCGACGGUCCGUCCUGCAGGUCGUCGCAAGGUUCAGAGACUGGAUUUCCACUGAAGGCUCUGUGACGGUCCGUCACACAUGUGACGGUCCAUCCUGCCAUUUCGUUACGAAGUUUAGAGAGUCGAUUUUCAAUACCCAAUUUCAGAUUUUCUAAGUGUUUUGAAACGAGACCCUGCGACGGUCCGUCGUGGGGUCCGUCGCCUCAGCAUGUUUUUCCAGAAAUAAAAUCUGCUGUUCAAAACGACUAAACUGGUCGUUACAUUAAGACUAUGGCUUAUAAGCCCCUUGAUCGAGAUUGGAUCGGGGUCAGUCCACAGGCCAAAAUUAUUUAUUUAAGGGUAACUUAUAUCAAUUUCGCUAGUAUAUGAUAAGCUAAUUACUUAAAGGAACGGCAUGUUCUAUCUCGGGAUACAUAAAUUCAAAAAUUAGUUUGAUUAAUUUGCUCUAGAUAUAUUCUAUCUAAGUGCCGGAUUCACAUGUAUCUACGAUAUAUAGACAAAUUUUGCACCCUCGAUCGCCUCCUUCCCAUCUUGCUCGCCCUCUCUUAUCUCACUCGCGUAUCUGAGAUACAUCACACUAGAUACAUGCAUCUCAUCUCGCAUAUCUAGUAUGCAUGAUACACUCUAAUUACACUAGAUUUUUGCUACUGUUAUUGAAAUAACACCAUUGUUUGCCAUAUUUGAUUUGAAAUCUUUUCAUUUUCUUGAAGUUAUAAAAUUUUCAGUUUGAAAAGAAAAAAUAAUAAUAAAAAAAGGCUAGUUGGCCCUCCCUUUGCCCUUCUAAGUUUGUUAGGUUAAACAUUUUCAAACUCUUUCAAAUUAAGGGCCGGCCCACGCUUAUCCUUCAUCUUUCUUGGCCCGCGAGGCAUGGGUAGUGUGGAACUGGAUCGGCCCUUUUUGACAACUUUAGGUAUUGAGGUCUAUAUCCACCUUUAUGUUUGUACCCUAUACUAAUUUUUCUUUUCCUUAUUUAUGUAAAUAUUUAAAAAUAAAUUAAAUAAUUUAUACUAUGCACUAAAAGAAUUGUACAUAUUUGAAAGAUAUAAUUAAGUUGAGAGAAAUAUUACUUGUUCGACGAGGGGAGUGUUAAUGAACCAGGGUGCAACCCCAUUAACACGAAUUCCAUCUGUUGCCCAUUCACAAGCCAAAUUUCUUGUAAGCUGAUUCAUUGCUCCUGUCAUCAUAAUAUAAUAAUAAAAUUAAUAAAUAUAAAGUAAAGCUGGAAUCGUUGAUCGUAAAUAGCUGAUAAGUUCUAAGUGUUGAAAAUUAUUUUUUAAAUAUUGAAAUUGUUUGUAUAAAUAAAUAGUUACUUGUUUGGACAUAAGUAUCGAAAGUGUUAAUAAGUAGUUGAUGUGUCUUGUUAAAAAAUAUUUAUUACUAUACUUAAGUAUUUUGUAAACAUUAUAAAUAAAUUUAAUAGUAUUCGAGCAUACAAAAGGAGGAACAACAAAUAUAUAUAUCGUAAAUUUUAAAAAAUAUUAAGGAUAAAAUAAUAAUAUAUUUAGUCUAACCAAAAGUGUUUUAUAAACGAAAAAUCUUUUAUGAUCAACUUACAACCUUUAUUGUUUAUCAAACAAGUAAUAAGCUAAAAUAUGUUGACUAGUCAGUUGGAUCAAUCAACUUAUAUAUAAGCUUAGUCAAUUACGUAUCGUGAUAAAGCUAAGAUUUUAAGAAGAGGGUUCAAACUUUGGAGAAGUACAACAUACGAACUAAUUGAAGAGGGUUCGACAUAUACUUAAAGGGAGUUCAGAUGAACCCUAACAUGCUGGCUCCGUCCCUUAAUACGUACCUUAGUUGUAUAUUACUCACUAUUUAAGGAUAGAUGAGUACCUUUUGUUGCUCCAAAAAUAGAAGUACCAGAUAGGUGGACAAGACCAGCAACAGAAGACAAGAAAACAAUACUUCCAGCUCCAGAUGAUUUAAGAAGAGGAUGAGCAAGUUGACUCAAAUGGAAUGAAGAUUCUAAAUUUGUAGCCAUCAUAUGUGCAUAAUCUUCACCAGUAUAUUCAGUAGUGGGCUUCCAAAUGUUUGUUCCAACAUUGUUUAUCUGCAACAACAAUAUAACAUAAUAAGGCAAUAUAUAUGUCCAUCCAUGUAUUAGUAUAAACGUAACGUCGUCAUACUUUCCUUUUUAAUAUCAUGUACUUGGUAAUUUUAAUAUUAUACUUACAUGACAUGUUUAAAGUUACGGAUAUAUGGAAUUAUUAGUUCUUACAAGAAUGUUGAGUUUUCCAUCAAAUUCCAAGGAAACUUUUUCCAUGAGUUGUACUCUUUGCUCUUUAGAUGAUACAUCACAUACACAACCUUUUACUUGAAGGCCUUUAUCUGUCCACUUUUUCAAACAUUCAUUGAGGAUUGAUUCAUUCCUUGAACAUGUAUACACUUUUGCACCAAGUUCACAAAACUCCUCCACAAUUGCAUGCCUAAAAAAAACAUGUAUAUCAAUCAGGUUCCUGUUAUUCGUAUCUGUUCUGAAUUGACUAUUUAACGUCCAGUGAAGGAAUUGAAGGCUCUCACGAUUGAGACCCCAUGUCCUUUGCCCUCGAUCAAAAGUAAUUCUUUUUCUAAAGUUACGGAUCCAUUUUAUUAUUAUUUUUCUUGCUUAUAACAUUAUGAUGAUCAUCAUCCUAAGGUUGCUAUCUUGAAGACCUAAUGUGAUCUUUGACAUGAUAAAUUACAUAAAUGUACACUAACAUGGUAUCUAGACAUGUAAUUACAACAAAAUAAGUCAUCUGAUAGUAUAAACAUUAUAUGUAUAUAUAGAAGUUAAAUUCGAAAAAAAAUGCGAUAAGAUAAGAAGGGUAACCCAAUUCCAUAAGUGCCUCCAGUUACAAGAGCAACCAAACCAGUAAGUGACCAUCUGGAUCCUCCAACCUUUGCCAUAUUGUGUGUUUCUUUUGUAUAGCUAAUUGAUUAUUCAAGAGAUUGAUUGAAACUAUAUUACAAAAAUACUAAUUGCUUAAUUACAAAAAUAAGCUACCUAAGUGGCCUAUAAAUACUACUACUUAUAAGCUUAAUUAUCUGGUCUAGUCAUAUCCUUAUUGACAGUUACAAUAAUUAUGACUUUAUUCCUAACAGUCAAAGAUGUUUGCUAGACAUUUUUUUAUAUAUAUAUCUACAUACAUAUAUAUAUAUAUAUAUAUAUAUAAUGCAAUAUUCUCUAUUUAUUGUAUGACAUUUGUGGUGACUGGUUACGUUGUAAAUUGAGCAUUUUUAAGUUAUUAAGUAAUUAUAUAAGUACUAUUGAGAUGAACUAUGUUGAUGGUAAAGAUAUUUUUAGAUUAUAUAUAUAGAGAGAGAAAGUGUAUUUUAAUUUCAUUUAAUUUAACGAUAUAUUCAAUAAUGCAAUAAAAAUUUGAGUUUUCUCCAUCAGAGCUAUUUUAAAAUAUUUUAUUCAAAUUAAAAAUCUAGUAGAGUAAAAUAAAUUUUUAUGAGAUAAGAAUAGUACAAUGUAUGUAUUCUAUCUUUUUAUAAUAACUAUAGGGUUGUUCAUGGUUAUGGUUAACAAUCAAACUAAAUCGUAAUUUGAAUCAAAUCAAUUCAAAGAAAUUGAUAUUUUAUAUAGUUUGGUUUGGUUUUGGUUUUUAUAUUUUGAAAAUCGCUACUAUUUUGUUUGGUUUUGAUUUUACCAAAAAACAAUUGCAAAAAUGAUAAAAAUCGAACCGAUAAUUAGAUAUAUAAAUUUUAUAAUUAUUUAUAUAUUAUUCAUAAAUAAAAUAAAAAUAUUUUGUUGAAUUUUAAUUAACGUAAGUUUUUAACUUUAUCAUUUUCUCAAACCCAACACUUUAGCCCAAGUAUAACAAUCUCAAAUCGAAAUCCGUCAAAAUCUAUUUUAGUCUUUACCUAUUGUACUUCAUAUAAAAUAGUUGCACUUUCUCUAAAAUGAAACACUUCGUUCGUGUAAUGAUAACUCUAAUGUUGCUUAAUUGCUUCACUGAAACGAUAUUAAUUUUUCUGUAGAUUGUUCAUGUACUUGGUGUUUGUAAAAAAUUAUUACUUUCAAAUAGAAUAAACUAGAAAAACUGAACCAAACCGACAAUAACCAAACCGAUGAUUUUUUUUUUGUUUCAUUUGGUUUUGUUUAAUUUUAAAAUUUUUAAAAACUGACUAAAUUAAUUUAGUUUUAAUUUUAAUCAAUAAUCGAUCCAAACCGAACCACAAACACCCCUCAUAAGUGUAAUUGCCGGGCAAUACAAUGAAUUUUGGAAGUAUAAAUCAAAACCCUAAUAGUGCAAGCUUGAAAAAUAUCUCCAUUUUUUUAUUUUUUAUUUUUAUAAAAUACAUGCAUGUGAUACUUAUUAUAUGAUUAUAAUUAUUUUAUUUUAUUUUAUUAUAUUAGUUAAUAGAAGAAUGUGGAACACAUCUUUUUAUUUAUUUCAGAGUCGUUUAUUUGAUAAAGAGUACGUACCACAACACGACAUGUAUACUUAUUGCCCAAGCGAUAAAAUUAACAUUUUAUAUUUUUAUGUUUUUAUGAUUGGUUAAUCUUGGACCCACAAAAUAAUGUAGUCUUCAAAUUGCCUAAAUUUUAGAAUAAUAUGUUCAAAAUUUUAUAUUUUCAAAUUCGAAGUUUGCUUAUGAACAUGUAUUUUAUUAUGCACCAUUUUAAAGUUUGUGUGUAAACAUGUCUACUGUGCACCAUUUAAUCCAUUUUUUGAUAAUCUUUUUAAAGUUUUACGCGUAUCUUUACUUGUCAAAGUUAUGCUAUCAUAACAAUGGACCUACAAGAACGAAGAAAUUUUGGAUCGUUAAGUUGAAAGCAAAUCAUUUUAAGAUAAUUUAUCGUGAGAAAGUUAUUUUAUUACGUAAAUAACUUAUUACAUUACUAAAAUAAACGAUAUAUAUAGAAUAAUUAAUUAAUCAUAUCACUAAAAUAGAAAUAGUGAGAUAAAUAAUCUAAAGAUAUUCAAACUAAGAGCAUGUUUGGCUCAGCUUAAAAGCUGGUCAAACUGACUUAAAAACUGGUUUUUGACUUAUUUAGCUGUUUGACAAUCCUCAAAAUAACUUAUUCUAAGUUUAAAAAAAAAACUUAUUUUAAGCCAAAAGUUAAAAGCUGGGGUAGGGGUGCUUUUUUUUCCAGCCUAAAGUUGUUUUAAGUUGACCACAUUUUUACCUUUUUACUCUUAAUAUUUUUAUACAAUCUCCAAAUUACCCACAUAACCCUAACAUCUCUUUCUUCUAUUUUUCCCUUUUCACAUGUGGAUGAUAGACAAUUAAUAUUACUAAUGAAUGAAAAUAAAAUAAAUCUUAAAUCUUUCAAUCACUAUUCAAAUUAUAUAUAAUUAAAAUGUAAAAUAAGUUGCACAUAUAACUUAAAUAAAAGUUUAUAUUCCUCUUAUAAAUAAUUUGUGAUAAUAAAGAAAUAUGUGAAUGAUAGACUAUUAUUAUUACCUAAGGAUGAAACUAAAAUAAAAUCUUAAAUCGUUCUUUCAUCUAUUCAAAUUAUAUAUCUUUAAAAUCUAUAAUAAGUUUAUAUUCCUCUUAUAAAUAAUUUGUGAUGAGAAAGAAAUAUGUGAAUGAUAGCAAAAUAUAAUUAUUUAUGGCAGUAAAAUAUAAAUUAAUUAACUUUUAUUAUGUUAACAACUUUUAAGGGAAUUUCAGACAUUUUGAUUUAAAAAGUUGUUUAUCAGCACUUAUUUGCCAAACACAUCAAUAAUUUUUUUUUUAACUUCAGCACUUUUAUCCAAACGCAUAACUGCUUAUUUUAAAAAUAAGUUUCAGCACUUUCAAAAGUACUUUUUUAAACCUGUUUUUAUUAAGCCCAUCCAAACGGGCCCUAAUACCUCUGGCCAAAUACAAAAUAAAAUAAACUUAUAUUUUAUUCCGAAAUUAUUAUACUUUAUACCUCAAACUAAUUCAACGAUAAAGUUCAUGUAUUAUUACAGAUUUUUGAGGUACCGUAUGAAUUUGCUUUUUUCAGAGUGUUGGGAUUUAUAUAUUAAAAUAAUAAAAUCAAUUCUAAAUUAAAAUUAUAUCAAAUAUACAUAUUAAAAUAUUUUUUGAAUUUAUGAUUUAAAAUAUUCUAUCUGAAAAUUUGAAAAAGUAGAAAUUACGUACUCGAAAAACUGAAAUUAAGUAAAAAUUACGUACUCAAAAAACUGAAAUUAAGUAGAAAUUACGUACUUGAGCUAGCUCCCAAGAUAUUUUAUAAGUAGAGAUUACGUAUGUUUUCAAGUAAGGUAUAAGUAUCCUAUAAAUAGUACUAAGAUUAUCUUGUGUGGUCAUAUUUUUCAGUUUAUUGUACUUACAAGACUAUAUAUAUUAGUAUAACAUAUAUUUCGAUUUUCACUACAAGAACCUUAGUGGCCUUUGUAUAUAAAUUUAUUUGGAAAAUGGAUAUUUAUAACUUAUUAGGCUGUUAUACGUACAAGUAUUCAAUGAUAGGGAUAUUUUUAAAUUAUAGUAUAACAAAUGACAAUUUUUAUUCAAUUUAACAGCACAUUCAAUAAUGUAAAAAUAGUUUGAGUUGCCGUCGUCUUUUUAAAAUUAUUCUGAAAUAUUUUAUUUAAGCCGAGAAUCUACUCAAAAAAUUUAUUAUUAUUAUUAUUAUUAUUAUGAAUAGGAAUAUAAUAUAUAACAUUCUAUUCUUUUCAAAAUUUUACUUUUGAAAUUUUACAUUGAAUAUAUUAUUGUAUAUUUUUUGAUUGAUCUAAAAAUAAAAAUACUUUUUUAAUAUUUAUUAAUAAUUUUAUUUAUAUUAUUUUAUAUUUAAUAAAUAAUUUAUACCUUACUUGUUUCAAAGCAUAAAUUUUUUCUAAAUAUCUUUUUAUUUUUUAAGUUUCGUAUCUAAACAGAAUCAAAGGAUGUUGUUUUUUUCCCUUCUUUUUUUUUAAGUCAGCAACUUCAUCCGACUCCAACUAAUUUCUCUCUCUAUAUAUAUAUAUAUUUCUUAAUUUUAUUUUAUUUUUUUAAAAUUAUUUUUUGACAUUUUUCACGUGCAGUUUCAGAAUAUUGGUUUAUAUAUAUAAUAUAUAAUUUAAUUUAUUUAAGUGUAAUUGCUGACCAGUAUAAUGAAUUUUGGAAUUGUAAUUCAAACUCUAAUACCAACAUCAUGAUUCAUGCAUAUGAUACUUAUCAUACGUCUUGCAUUUAAUUAAAGGUUAAGAAUUGUUAUCACUCACGUAAAUUAAACUUUAACAAUGCAAGAUUGAAAAAUAGCUCCAAGAAUCUUUUUUAGAAAAUUUAUGCAUAUGUAUAUGUUUUACAAUUAAAUAAUAGAUUUUUUAAGAGAAAAAUAUAGAUAGUGAAAUAAAUUUUUUUAAUUUAAUAGAUUUUUUUUCGUGUAACGAAUUUAUUUUGUUAAUUUCCUAGCCUAUAUUUUUCUAUCGAUCAAAGAUGGUUCAUUUUGGAAAUCACUAACCGCAGACAUUAUAUCUUAUUUGUGUAUAUUAACAUGAUAUAUCUAAACACAUUUAUACUGUCGAUAUAUAUCUAAAAUUUAAACCGUUAUAGAAAUUAAAUGCUCACCCAAUUCCAUAAGUGCCUCCAGUGACAAGAGCCACCAAACGAUUAAGUGACCAUCUGGAUCCUCCAACCUUUGCCAUUGUGUAAUUUAUUUUGUCUAGCUAAUUGAUUAUUAAAAAAAAAAAUAUUUGCAAGUAUAUAGUAGUAUUGUUUUCAUAAAGAAGAUACAGUAUGUGACCUAUAAAUAGUACAAUUUUAAAGUUGGUGGCCUUCAAUUAUUUAACGAAUCAUUUUCCAAACAUAAGAAAAUAAAUCUAAAAUUUAUUUGUUUUUCAAAAAAAUAUUUUCUAAAAAAACAUUUUCAUAAAAGAUAUUUUUCUCCAUACCAAACACACCCUUAGUGUGUGAUUUUUCAUUCCAUAUAUGUAUAUAUAUAUUAAAAAACACGGUUUUUAAGGAGAUAAAGUUUAUAAGUUGCCUUCAAACAUAUAAUACAAAUUAAACAACGCAAAGUGGGCGGUAAAAAUGAGUGGAUUUUUCGUAGUUCAAAAAAAUGACUUGGUUUAAUUUGACGUGAAAUUUAAAAAAAUAAAGAAAUUUUUUAAAUUUUGUAGUUUUAAAAUAAAGUUAUGUGAAAUGUACAAAAUUAUAUUUUUAAUCUUGUAGCCUUAAACAUGUCACUUAGAAAUUUGAAAUUAAAAUAUUAUUAAAAAAAGAUUAUUCUUUUGAAAUUAAAAUAUUAUUAAAAAAGUUUUUUUUUAAAUAGACUAAAAAUAAAAAAAAUAUUUUUUUUUAAAACGGGGGGAGAAAGUAUUGCUUUGUACUUUGUAUAUCACUAAACUUAGUGGAUAAAUAUUUGGAAACCUUUUUAAUUUGCACGCACUUUCAUUCUUUUAAAAAAAUGUAGAAAUAUGUUUGGCAUGUUCAAAAUCAUAAUUUCUAAUAAAAGUUAAUUUUUGGUACGUGGGUACCAAAAUUAUUUUUAACAAACAUAAAACGUUUUGCUCAAUCAAAUACUAUUAGUCAUAAAAAAGAAAAAAAAUAAUAUUUAAUAUAUCGACAUGAUUAUUACACAGAAUAUAAUAACGAUAAUAAUAAAAUACUCAAAAUGAACUUACAAAUAGAAUCUCGAGAAGACAGUGAAUAGUGAGUAAACUACAAUGCGAAAAUAAGGAAAAAGGAUCAUCUCAUAAACCCUCAAUUCAAACAAAACACACCAAACAUGCUCAAAUUAAAUACAACAUUAUUACAAAAGUACUAGUAGGUAGCUAGAAAUUCUAUGCUACCAUAUUCAAACAAGCCCAAUUUGUUCGAGCUAAAAAAGUAAUAUCACUCGAUCAUUAUUAUCAAAUUCAUUGCAAUUUUUUUUUUGUCGGACUAGUAAUAGUUAAUAGCCAGGCUGUUGGAAGCCAUAAACAGUGAAUCCUCCAUCAACUGCAAUAACUUGACCGGUAACAUAGGAAGCAGCAGGAAGACAAAGAUAAGCUACCAUUGAUGAAACUUCUUCAACUUCUCCAGGACGCUUAAGAGGAGUUCUUGAUACUACCCCUUCCAGAAAUUCUUUAUCUCCCAGCACCUGUCAAUACAAAGCCAUCAAAAGGGUCAAAUUUGUCUUUUUACUAUCGAAAAAAGAAUCAUAUAUAUGCCCGUCGUUAUAUUAUUCAUUACAAAAAAAGUCGCUCAGAUAUACCCUAUCUACUAAUAUUAUAUUAGUUCUAUUAAUAUUUUAAUGAAAUCAUGAACACCUCAUGACAUGUCAUCAUAUUGUCCCAACCCCCUCCACUUUUUUGUCCACCACUACAACACCAUGACCACCACAGCCAUGAUAAUGGAAGGAUUAAUUUAAUUGUUGAUAGGUUCGAGUUUAAUAUUCCACAGUAACAUAGUAAUAUUAAUUUAUUGGAUUAGAAAACUAUUAUUUAAAUAUAUAUAGUUAAUUUCUUAAAGCUAUUGAUAGAGUCAUUAAAAUGGCUUAGUCCAUCGGUGGACCUAACGCAAUAAGUUAUUAGGAUAGAAUUGAGAUAAGAUUUUUCAAGUUCAUUUAAGACUAGGACUUAUAAGCUCCUAGAUCGAGAUCGGAUCGGGAUCAACCCAUGGACCAAAACUAUUUAUUUAAGGAUAACUUAUAUCAAUCUCGCUGGUAUAUGAUAAAAUUACUUAAAGGAACGGUAUAUUGUAUCUCGGGAUAUAUGAACUCAAAAUUAGAUUAAUUAAUUUUGCUCCGGAUUCACAUGUAUCUACAAUACAUAGACAAAUUUCGCACCCUCGAUCGCCUCCUUCCCAUCUUGCUUGCCCUCUCUUAUCUCACUCACGUAUUUGAGAUACAUCACACCGAAUACAUGCAUUUUAUCUCGCAUAUCUAGUAUCCAGGAUACAUUCUAAUUACACUAAAUUUUUGCUAGUGUUAUUGAAAUAACACCAUUGUUUGCCAUAUUUUAUUUGAAAUCUUUUCAUUUUCUUGACAUUAUAGAAUUUUCAGUUUGAAAAGAAAAACAAUGGGAAAAAAGGGCUACCUGGCCCUCCCUUUGCCAUUCUAAGAUUGGAUUAGGUUAAGUAUUUUCAAACUCUUUUAAAUGAAGGGCCAGCCCAUGCUUUGCCUUCAUCUUUCUUGGCCCGCGAGGCAUGGCCAGUGUGGGACUGAAUCGGCCCUUUUUGAUAACUCUAGGUAUUGAGUUCUAUAUCCCACCUUUAUGUUUGUACCCUAUACUAAUUUUUCUUUUCCUUAUUUAUGUAAAUAAUUAAAAAUAAAUUUAUUAAUUUAUACUAUGCACUAAAAGAAUUUUACAUAUUUGAAAGAUAUAAUUAAGUUGAGAGAAAUAUUACUUGUUCGACGAGGGGAGUGUUAAUGAACCAGGGUGCAACCCCAUUAACACGAAUUCCAUCUUUUGCCCAUUCACAAGCCAAAUUUCGUGUAAGUUGAUUCAUUGCUCCUGUCAUUAUAAGUUAAUAAUAAAAUAAAUAAAUAUAAAGUCGAGCUUGAAUCGUUGAUCGUAAAUAGCUGAUAAGUUCUAAGUGUUGAAAAUUAUUUUUUAAAUAUUGAAAUUGUUUGUAUAAAUAAAUAGUUACUUGUUUAGACACAAGUAUCAAAAGUGUUAAUAAGUAGUUGAUGUGUCUUGUUAAAAAAUGUUAAUUACUGUACUUAAGUAUUUUGUAAACAUUAUAAAUAAAUUUAAAAGUAUUCGAGCAUAGAAAAGGAGGAACAACAAAUAUAUAAUAUCGUAAAUUUAAAAAAAUAUUAAGGAUAAAAUAAUAAAAUAUUUAGUCCAAUCAAAAGUGUUUAUAAGCGGAAAAUCUUUUAUGAUCAACUUACAACUUCGUCUUAUAAACACUUUAUUUAUUGUAUAUCAAACAAGUAAUAAGCUAAAAUAUGUUGACUAGUCAGUUGGAUCAAUCAACUUAUAUAUAAGCUUAACCAAUUACGUAUCGUGACAAAGCUAAGAUUUUAAGAAGAGGGUUCAAACUUUGGAGAAGUACAACAUAUGAACUAAUUGAAGAGGGUUCGACAUAUAUUUGAAGGGAAUUCAGAUGAAUCCUAACAGUAUGCUGGCUCCGCCCCUUAAUACGUACCUUAGUUGUAUAUUACUCACUAUUUAAUAGAGCUGUCAAUAUGGGAUAGCCCACCCCAUCCGGGCUAACCUAUACAGGCUUUGACAUUUUACCGGUCAGGCCGGGCUAGCCCAUUUUUGGCGUGGGCCAGAAUAUGGUCGGUCCAACCCAUAAGUAAGUGGCCUACAGGUUUGACAGGCCAACCCACUUUUUAAAAAAAAUUAUAUAUUUUUAUAAUAAAUAGAGAUAAUUUCAGAGACCUCCAUGUUUCGCUCUAUAACAUUCACCUCCCCUUUGGUUUACGAUAUUACGUCUACCUCCCUUAUUUUCAUUUAAUUGUAACCAUUCUUUAAACCUAUUUAAAAUAAAUAUAAAUUAAUAUAGAUUUGACAAUUUUACUCUUUUAUAUAUAAAUUUCUUCUUAGUAAUAAAUAUUAUAUAAAAAAUAACUCAUUUAACAAAAUACUUUUAAAAUAGUUAACAUAAAGAUUUAUUUUUUUAAUCCAACAAAAAUCAAAGUCUUCAACUAAGCUGACCCACAUUUUCACCAAAUAUUAACUUUUUAUCUCUAUUUCACUUUUAAAAAUUCACGUAAAUUUUUUCUCCACAAUAAUCCAUCAUUUUCCGGCAAAAAUUUCUUCAAAUAGAAGACAAAAUUGAACUUCCCAAGAAAGAAAUUCGAUAAGAACGAUAAGAUUUUGUUCUAGUUAAACAUUUAAACAAGCGAAAAAGAAACAUGAUCCAACGAAUAAAGAUAAAUCAUUGAAAAUUAGAUCUAAACAUUCAUAUAUAAGGGUAAAUUUGUCAAAUUUAUAUUAAUUUAUAUUUAUUUUAAAUAGGCUUAAAGAAUGGUUACAAGUAAAUGAAAAUAAGGGAGGUAGACGUAAUAUCGUAAACUAAAGGGGAGGUGAGUGUUAUAGAGCGAAACAUGGAGGUCUCUCAAAAUUAUCUAUAUUUAUUAAGUUUUUUUCAAGUAAAAGUAUAAAUAUAUAAAUAAAAAUAUUAACCUAAUUAUUUUGAAUUUGGACUCUCUUUAAUUUUAAAUUUUAAUAUUAUAUUAUAUUUUUUAAUUAAUUAUUAUUGGCCAACGAGCCGGCUCUACCUAUAUUUUUCAAGCCCAUUAAAUCAACAGGCUUAUUCAUGCCGGGCUAAAAAGUCAUUUUCUUAAAUGUGUUCCAAAAAUCUUAGCCCAACCCUAUUAAAUCUCGAAUUAGGCACGCCGGUCCAACGGACCUAGUCCAUAUUAACGAUUCUACUAUUUAAGGAUAGAUGAGUACCUUUUGUUGCUCCAUAAAUAGAAGUGCCAGAUAGGUGGACAAGACCAGCAACAGAAGACAAGAAUACAAUACUUCCAACUCCAGAUGAUUUAAGAAGAGGAUUAGCAAGUUGACUCAAAUGGAAUGAAGAUUCUAAAUUUGUAGCCAUCAUAUGUGCAUAAUCUUCACCAGUAUAUUCAGUAGUAGGCUUCCAAAUGUUUGUUCCAACAUUGUUUAUCUACAACAACAAUAUAACAUAAUAAGGCAAUAUAUAUGUCCAUCCAUGUAUUAGUAUAAACGUAACAUCGUCAUACUUUGUCCAUCCAUGUAUUAGUAUAAACGUAACGUCGUCAUACUUUCCUUUUUAGUAUCAUGUACUUGGUAAUUCUAAUAUUUUACUUGCACGACAUGUUUAAAGUUACGAGAUAUAUGGAAUUAUUAGUUCUUACAAGAAUGUUGAGUUUUCCAUCAAAUUCCAAGGAAACUUUUUCCAUGAGUUGUACUCUUUGCUCUUUAGAUGAUACAUCACAUACACAACCUUUUACUUGAAGGCCUUUAUCUGUCCACUUUUUCAAACAUUCAUUGAGGAUUGAUUCAUUCCUUGAACAUGUAUACACUUUUGCACCAAGUUCACAAAGCUCCUCCACAAUUGCAUGCCUAAAAAAAAAACAUGUAUAUCAAUCAGGUUCCUGUUAUUCGUAUCUGUUCUGAAUUGACUAUUUAACGUCCAGUGAAGGAAUUGAAGGCUCUCACGAUUGAGACCCCAUGUCCUUUGCCCUCGAUCAAAAGUAAUUCUUUUUCUAAAGUUACGGAUCCAUUUUAUUAUUAUUUUUCUUGCUUAUAACAUUAUGAUGAUCAUCAUCCUAAGGUUGCUAUCUUGAAGACCUAAUGUGAUCUUUGACAUGAUAAAUUACAUAAAUGUACACUAACAUGGUAUCUAGACAUGUAAUUACAACAAAAUAAGUCAUCUGAUAGUAUAAACAUUAUAUGUAUAUAUAGAAGUUAAAUUCGAAAAAAAAUGCGAUAAGAUAAGAAGGGUAACCCAAUUCCAUAAGUGCCUCCAGUUACAAGAGCAACCAAACCAGUAAGUGACCAUCUGGAUCCUCCAACCUUUGCCAUAUUGUGUGUUUCUUUUGUAUAGCUAAUUGAUUAUUCAAGAGAUUGAUUGAAACUAUAUUACAAAAAUACUAAUUGCUUAAUUACAAAAAUAAGCUACCUAAGUGGCCUAUAAAUACUACUACUUAUAAGCUUAAUUAUCUGGUCUAGUCAUAUCCUUAUUGACAGUUACAAUAAUUAUGACUUUAUUCCUAACAGUCAAAGAUGUUUGCUAGACAUUUUUUUAUAUAUAUAUCUACAUACAUAUAUAUAUAUAUAUAUAUAUAAUGCAAUAUUCUCUAUUUAUUGUAUGACAUUUGUGGUGACUGGUUACGUUGUAAAUUGAGCAUUUUUAAGUUAUUAAGUAAUUAUAUAAGUACUAUUGAGAUGAACUAUGUUGAUGGUAAAGAUAUUUUUAGAUUAUAUAUAUAGAGAGAGAAAGUGUAUUUUAAUUUCAUUUAAUUUAACGAUAUAUUCAAUAAUGCAAUAAAAAUUUGAGUUUUCUCCAUCAGAGCUAUUUUAAAAUAUUUUAUUCAAAUUAAAAAUCUAGUAGAGUAAAAUAAAUUUUUAUGAGAUAAGAAUAGUACAAUGUAUGUAUUCUAUCUUUUUAUAAUAACUAUAGGGUUGUUCAUGGUUAUGGUUAACAAUCAAACUAAAUCGUAAUUUGAAUCAAAUCAAUUCAAAGAAAUUGAUAUUUUAUAUAGUUUGGUUUGGUUUUGGUUUUUAUAUUUUGAAAAUCGCUACUAUUUUGUUUGGUUUUGAUUUUACCAAAAAACAAUUGCAAAAAUGAUAAAAAUCGAACCGAUAAUUAGAUAUAUAAAUUUUAUAAUUAUUUAUAUAUUAUUCAUAAAUAAAAUAAAAAUAUUUUGUUGAAUUUUAAUUAACGUAAGUUUUUAACUUUAUCAUUUUCUCAAACCCAACACUUUAGCCCAAGUAUAACAAUCUCAAAUCGAAAUCCGUCAAAAUCUAUUUUAGUCUUUACCUAUUGUACUUCAUAUAAAAUAGUUGCACUUUCUCUAAAAUGAAACACUUCGUUCGUGUAAUGAUAACUCUAAUGUUGCUUAAUUGCUUCACUGAAACGAUAUUAAUUUUUCUGUAGAUUGUUCAUGUACUUGGUGUUUGUAAAAAAUUAUUACUUUCAAAUAGAAUAAACUAGAAAAACUGAACCAAACCGACAAUAACCAAACCGAUGAUUUUUUUUUUGUUUCAUUUGGUUUUGUUUAAUUUUAAAAUUUUUAAAAACUGACUAAAUUAAUUUAGUUUUAAUUUUAAUCAAUAAUCGAUCCAAACCGAACCACAAACACCCCUCAUAAGUGUAAUUGCCGGGCAAUACAAUGAAUUUUGGAAGUAUAAAUCAAAACCCUAAUAGUGCAAGCUUGAAAAAUAUCUCCAUUUUUUUAUUUUUUAUUUUUAUAAAAUACAUGCAUGUGAUACUUAUUAUAUGAUUAUAAUUAUUUUAUUUUAUUUUAUUAUAUUAGUUAAUAGAAGAAUGUGGAACACAUCUUUUUAUUUAUUUCAGAGUCGUUUAUUUGAUAAAGAGUACGUACCACAACACGACAUGUAUACUUAUUGCCCAAGCGAUAAAAUUAACAUUUUAUAUUUUUAUGUUUUUAUGAUUGGUUAAUCUUGGACCCACAAAAUAAUGUAGUCUUCAAAUUGCCUAAAUUUUAGAAUAAUAUGUUCAAAAUUUUAUAUUUUCAAAUUCGAAGUUUGCUUAUGAACAUGUAUUUUAUUAUGCACCAUUUUAAAGUUUGUGUGUAAACAUGUCUACUGUGCACCAUUUAAUCCAUUUUUUGAUAAUCUUUUUAAAGUUUUACGCGUAUCUUUACUUGUCAAAGUUAUGCUAUCAUAACAAUGGACCUACAAGAACGAAGAAAUUUUGGAUCGUUAAGUUGAAAGCAAAUCAUUUUAAGAUAAUUUAUCGUGAGAAAGUUAUUUUAUUACGUAAAUAACUUAUUACAUUACUAAAAUAAACGAUAUAUAUAGAAUAAUUAAUUAAUCAUAUCACUAAAAUAGAAAUAGUGAGAUAAAUAAUCUAAAGAUAUUCAAACUAAGAGCAUGUUUGGCUCAGCUUAAAAGCUGGUCAAACUGACUUAAAAACUGGUUUUUGACUUAUUUAGCUGUUUGACAAUCCUCAAAAUAACUUAUUCUAAGUUUAAAAAAAAAACUUAUUUUAAGCCAAAAGUUAAAAGCUGGGGUAGGGGUGCUUUUUUUUCCAGCCUAAAGUUGUUUUAAGUUGACCACAUUUUUACCUUUUUACUCUUAAUAUUUUUAUACAAUCUCCAAAUUACCCACAUAACCCUAACAUCUCUUUCUUCUAUUUUUCCCUUUUCACAUGUGGAUGAUAGACAAUUAAUAUUACUAAUGAAUGAAAAUAAAAUAAAUCUUAAAUCUUUCAAUCACUAUUCAAAUUAUAUAUAAUUAAAAUGUAAAAUAAGUUGCACAUAUAACUUAAAUAAAAGUUUAUAUUCCUCUUAUAAAUAAUUUGUGAUAAUAAAGAAAUAUGUGAAUGAUAGACUAUUAUUAUUACCUAAGGAUGAAACUAAAAUAAAAUCUUAAAUCGUUCUUUCAUCUAUUCAAAUUAUAUAUCUUUAAAAUCUAUAAUAAGUUUAUAUUCCUCUUAUAAAUAAUUUGUGAUGAGAAAGAAAUAUGUGAAUGAUAGCAAAAUAUAAUUAUUUAUGGCAGUAAAAUAUAAAUUAAUUAACUUUUAUUAUGUUAACAACUUUUAAGGGAAUUUCAGACAUUUUGAUUUAAAAAGUUGUUUAUCAGCACUUAUUUGCCAAACACAUCAAUAAUUUUUUUUUUAACUUCAGCACUUUUAUCCAAACGCAUAACUGCUUAUUUUAAAAAUAAGUUUCAGCACUUUCAAAAGUACUUUUUUAAACCUGUUUUUAUUAAGCCCAUCCAAACGGGCCCUAAUACCUCUGGCCAAAUACAAAAUAAAAUAAACUUAUAUUUUAUUCCGAAAUUAUUAUACUUUAUACCUCAAACUAAUUCAACGAUAAAGUUCAUGUAUUAUUACAGAUUUUUGAGGUACCGUAUGAAUUUGCUUUUUUCAGAGUGUUGGGAUUUAUAUAUUAAAAUAAUAAAAUCAAUUCUAAAUUAAAAUUAUAUCAAAUAUACAUAUUAAAAUAUUUUUUGAAUUUAUGAUUUAAAAUAUUCUAUCUGAAAAUUUGAAAAAGUAGAAAUUACGUACUCGAAAAACUGAAAUUAAGUAAAAAUUACGUACUCAAAAAACUGAAAUUAAGUAGAAAUUACGUACUUGAGCUAGCUCCCAAGAUAUUUUAUAAGUAGAGAUUACGUAUGUUUUCAAGUAAGGUAUAAGUAUCCUAUAAAUAGUACUAAGAUUAUCUUGUGUGGUCAUAUUUUUCAGUUUAUUGUACUUACAAGACUAUAUAUAUUAGUAUAACAUAUAUUUCGAUUUUCACUACAAGAACCUUAGUGGCCUUUGUAUAUAAAUUUAUUUGGAAAAUGGAUAUUUAUAACUUAUUAGGCUGUUAUACGUACAAGUAUUCAAUGAUAGGGAUAUUUUUAAAUUAUAGUAUAACAAAUGACAAUUUUUAUUCAAUUUAACAGCACAUUCAAUAAUGUAAAAAUAGUUUGAGUUGCCGUCGUCUUUUUAAAAUUAUUCUGAAAUAUUUUAUUUAAGCCGAGAAUCUACUCAAAAAAUUUAUUAUUAUUAUUAUUAUUAUUAUGAAUAGGAAUAUAAUAUAUAACAUUCUAUUCUUUUCAAAAUUUUACUUUUGAAAUUUUACAUUGAAUAUAUUAUUGUAUAUUUUUUGAUUGAUCUAAAAAUAAAAAUACUUUUUUAAUAUUUAUUAAUAAUUUUAUUUAUAUUAUUUUAUAUUUAAUAAAUAAUUUAUACCUUACUUGUUUCAAAGCAUAAAUUUUUUCUAAAUAUCUUUUUAUUUUUUAAGUUUCGUAUCUAAACAGAAUCAAAGGAUGUUGUUUUUUUCCCUUCUUUUUUUUUAAGUCAGCAACUUCAUCCGACUCCAACUAAUUUCUCUCUCUAUAUAUAUAUAUAUUUCUUAAUUUUAUUUUAUUUUUUUAAAAUUAUUUUUUGACAUUUUUCACGUGCAGUUUCAGAAUAUUGGUUUAUAUAUAUAAUAUAUAAUUUAAUUUAUUUAAGUGUAAUUGCUGACCAGUAUAAUGAAUUUUGGAAUUGUAAUUCAAACUCUAAUACCAACAUCAUGAUUCAUGCAUAUGAUACUUAUCAUACGUCUUGCAUUUAAUUAAAGGUUAAGAAUUGUUAUCACUCACGUAAAUUAAACUUUAACAAUGCAAGAUUGAAAAAUAGCUCCAAGAAUCUUUUUUAGAAAAUUUAUGCAUAUGUAUAUGUUUUACAAUUAAAUAAUAGAUUUUUUAAGAGAAAAAUAUAGAUAGUGAAAUAAAUUUUUUUAAUUUAAUAGAUUUUUUUUCGUGUAACGAAUUUAUUUUGUUAAUUUCCUAGCCUAUAUUUUUCUAUCGAUCAAAGAUGGUUCAUUUUGGAAAUCACUAACCGCAGACAUUAUAUCUUAUUUGUGUAUAUUAACAUGAUAUAUCUAAACACAUUUAUACUGUCGAUAUAUAUCUAAAAUUUAAACCGUUAUAGAAAUUAAAUGCUCACCCAAUUCCAUAAGUGCCUCCAGUGACAAGAGCCACCAAACGAUUAAGUGACCAUCUGGAUCCUCCAACCUUUGCCAUUGUGUAAUUUAUUUUGUCUAGCUAAUUGAUUAUUAAAAAAAAAAAUAUUUGCAAGUAUAUAGUAGUAUUGUUUUCAUAAAGAAGAUACAGUAUGUGACCUAUAAAUAGUACAAUUUUAAAGUUGGUGGCCUUCAAUUAUUUAACGAAUCAUUUUCCAAACAUAAGAAAAUAAAUCUAAAAUUUAUUUGUUUUUCAAAAAAAUAUUUUCUAAAAAAACAUUUUCAUAAAAGAUAUUUUUCUCCAUACCAAACACACCCUUAGUGUGUGAUUUUUCAUUCCAUAUAUGUAUAUAUAUAUUAAAAAACACGGUUUUUAAGGAGAUAAAGUUUAUAAGUUGCCUUCAAACAUAUAAUACAAAUUAAACAACGCAAAGUGGGCGGUAAAAAUGAGUGGAUUUUUCGUAGUUCAAAAAAAUGACUUGGUUUAAUUUGACGUGAAAUUUAAAAAAAUAAAGAAAUUUUUUAAAUUUUGUAGUUUUAAAAUAAAGUUAUGUGAAAUGUACAAAAUUAUAUUUUUAAUCUUGUAGCCUUAAACAUGUCACUUAGAAAUUUGAAAUUAAAAUAUUAUUAAAAAAAGAUUAUUCUUUUGAAAUUAAAAUAUUAUUAAAAAAGUUUUUUUUUAAAUAGACUAAAAAUAAAAAAAAUAUUUUUUUUUAAAACGGGGGGAGAAAGUAUUGCUUUGUACUUUGUAUAUCACUAAACUUAGUGGAUAAAUAUUUGGAAACCUUUUUAAUUUGCACGCACUUUCAUUCUUUUAAAAAAAUGUAGAAAUAUGUUUGGCAUGUUCAAAAUCAUAAUUUCUAAUAAAAGUUAAUUUUUGGUACGUGGGUACCAAAAUUAUUUUUAACAAACAUAAAACGUUUUGCUCAAUCAAAUACUAUUAGUCAUAAAAAAGAAAAAAAAUAAUAUUUAAUAUAUCGACAUGAUUAUUACACAGAAUAUAAUAACGAUAAUAAUAAAAUACUCAAAAUGAACUUACAAAUAGAAUCUCGAGAAGACAGUGAAUAGUGAGUAAACUACAAUGCGAAAAUAAGGAAAAAGGAUCAUCUCAUAAACCCUCAAUUCAAACAAAACACACCAAACAUGCUCAAAUUAAAUACAACAUUAUUACAAAAGUACUAGUAGGUAGCUAGAAAUUCUAUGCUACCAUAUUCAAACAAGCCCAAUUUGUUCGAGCUAAAAAAGUAAUAUCACUCGAUCAUUAUUAUCAAAUUCAUUGCAAUUUUUUUUUUGUCGGACUAGUAAUAGUUAAUAGCCAGGCUGUUGGAAGCCAUAAACAGUGAAUCCUCCAUCAACUGCAAUAACUUGACCGGUAACAUAGGAAGCAGCAGGAAGACAAAGAUAAGCUACCAUUGAUGAAACUUCUUCAACUUCUCCAGGACGCUUAAGAGGAGUUCUUGAUACUACCCCUUCCAGAAAUUCUUUAUCUCCCAGCAC